AGCGCGAUGGCCGAUUGGUUAAGGGGUUGAACUUUAGCUUCAAUGGACGCAGGCCUUCGUGGGUUCGAAUCCCCACUCGCACUA
rfam:Heligmosomoides polygyrus genome assembly, scaffold: HPBE_scaffold0004092